CCAGGUGACUGGAAAAGCUUGGUAAACCCCGUCCGGUGCAAGACCAAAUAGGGAGGCGUUUGAGGGCUGCCCGCCUGAAGUCUCCGGGUAGGUCGCAUGAGGUGUGCGGCAACGUACAUCCCAGAUGAAUGAUCGCUGCUCUGCAUCAGGGCAACCUGACCAGAGAACAGAAUUCGGCUUAUGGAUUGCUCUCGCCG
rnacentral:RNase_P_RNA from 1 species